CCUACGGGAGGCUGCAGUGAGGAAUAUUGGUCAAUGGGCGCAAGCCUGAACCAGCCAAGUCGCGUGAAGGAUGAAGGUUCUAUGGAUCGUAAACCUCUUUUGUCAGGGGACAAAGUGAGGGACGAGUGCUUGUCUGAAUGUACUUGAUGAAUAAGCAUCGGCUAACUCCGUGCCAGCAGCCGCGGUAAUACGGAGGAUCCGAGCGUUAUCCGGAUUUAUUGGGUUUAAAGGGUGCGUAGGCGGCAUAUCAAGUCAGCGGUAAAAGUUCGGGGCUCAACCUUGUAGUGCCGUUGAAACUGAUGUGCUUGAGUGGGUGUGAGGCAGGCGGAAUGCGUGGUGUAGCGGUGAAAUGCAUAGAUAUCACGCAGAACCCCGAUUGCGAAGGCAGCCUGCCGGGGCACGACUGACGCUGAUGCACGAAAGCGUGGGGAUCAAACAGGAUUAGAUACCCCAGUAGUC
rnacentral:rRNA from 1 species